UUUAAAAUGGCAAUCAUGCAUUUAGUCGUCAGUCCUUAACCCCAUUCAUUCACCAAUGAAGCUGGACUUAUUCCUCUUUCUUAUUCGGUUUUCCAUUCCAACUUCCAAGUCUCCAUUCUCUUCCACCUUUUAUAUACUCUUACACUUCUUUCUCACACAUUUACAACCCCUUUUCAUUUUCAUCAAGCUUCUUCUACCAAUUUGGUUGUAGGAUGACAGAGCCAGCUGCAGCUUCUACAACUGUGAGGACGAUCAGCAGAUUUUUUGCAGCAAACAACUCUGCAGGUAAAGCUCGCAAUUUUGUUUAGCUCAAAGGGAUCCAAUUUCGGAGGGUAGGUCCCUUUCUAUUUUCAACAAUGCUGCAUACUUGUUUUGGCAAUCCCAUUUCUCUCAAUACAACCAUUUCCAAUAGUGUUCAUCCUCAAGCUUCUUCCACCAAUUUUGGUGAACAGGAUGAGACAGCUUCUGCAACCGUGAGAAAAAUUCUGUCUUCACCGAUCAAGUUUGCAACAUGGGAUGCAUGAAGCUUAUUGAUCACCACUGGACCGGGAUUUGCAAGAACAAGCUGCGCAUGAAACUUGGAGGUUUCAGACCCAAUAUAGAAGAAAUAGACACAAGUGGAGGAAAAGCACAUGGACAAAUGAGAUGGAGAGGUACAUAUAACUUACUCCAUGAUGAGCUGAGUCAAAAACUGAGUUUAAUACAGAGAUUAUAUCAGUUU